GGCUGGUUGGUUCAGGAGCGCUCUCGGACCGCCUUGGGUGAAGCUGAAAGGCUGCGUGGAUUCCCUGUUGGAGAGAGCCUGGCCCUUUCUUCCGGUGCUGGGAUUGCGAUUCCGCCCAGACUCCCCGCAGAAGAACUGCAGACUGAGUUCCUGAACCGCUUUGCAAAAGGAGAGGCAAAGGCAGCAGGUGCAAAACCACCUUCAGAUGGCUCACCCUGUUUCUCCCAGAGGAAGAUUAUUCACAACACAAGCACACAUGCACAAGGAGAGAGGUAGACUCACACGGAGUUAAACAGCUCUGGUUACCAGCCUUGACGCAGGGAAAAGAAAGACACAGUAAUUGUCACAUAUGGC